rnacentral:rRNA from 1 species
GACGAACGCUGGCGGCGUGCUUAACACAUGCAAGUCGAACGAGUGGCGGACGGGUGAGUAAUGUCUGGGAAACUGCCCGAUGGAGGGGGAUAACUACUGGAAACGGUAGCUAAUACCGCAUACCAUCGGAUGUGCCCAGAUGGGAUUAGCUAGUAGGUGGGGUAACGGCUCACCUAGGCGACGAUCCCUAGCUGGUCUGAGAGGAUGACCAGCCACACUGGAACUGAGACACGGUCCAGACUCCUACGGGAGGCAGCAGUGGGGAAUAUUGCACAAUGGGCGCAAGCCUGAUGCGGCCAUACCGCGUGUAUGAAUAAGGCCUUCGGGUUGUAAAGUACGUUCAGCGAGGAGGCGUUACUCGCAGAAGAAGCACCGGCUAACUCCGUGCCAGCAGCCGCGGUAAUAC